rnacentral:rRNA from 1 species
UACGGAGGGUGCGAGCGUUGUUCGGAAUUACUGGGCUUAAAGGGCGUGUAGGCGGGAUGAAAAGUGUCGAGUGAAAUCCCCGGGCUCAACCCGGGAAUGGCCCGGCAAACUGGCAUCCUUGAGGCAGGUAGAGGUGACUGGAACGACUGGUGGAGCGGUGAAAUGCGUAGAUAUCAGUUGGAACGCCGGAGGCGAAAGCGGGUCACUGGGCCUGUCCUGACGCUGAUACGCGAAAGCGUGGGGAGCGAACAGG